rnacentral:rRNA from 1 species
AACGAACGCUGGCGGCAUGCCUAACACAUGCCAGUCGAACGAGACCUUCGGGUCUAGUGGCGCACGGGUGCGUAACGCGUGGGAACCUGCCCUUAGGUUCGGAAUAACUCCCCGAAAGGGGUGCUAAUACCGGAUAAUGUCUUCGGACCAAAGAUUUAUCGCCUUUGGAUAGGCCCGCGUUGGAUUAGCUAGUUGGUAGGGUAAAAGCCUACCAAGGCGACGAUCCAUAGCUGGUCUGAGAGGAUGAUCAGCCACACUGGGACUGAGACACGGCCCAGACUCCUACGGGAGGCAGCAGUGGGGAAUAUUGGACAAUGGGCGAAAGCCUGAUCCAGCAAUGCCGCGUGAGUGAUGAAGGCCUUAGGGUUGUAAAGCUCUUUUACCCGGGAUGAUAAUGACAGUACCGGGAGAAUAAGCUCCGGCUAACUCCGUG